CGUGAAUUUUUAGACAAGAGCAUCCAUAACACAAAAGAAAGAAAAGAAGAAUAGAGAAGAAAAGAAAGGAAGAGAAAAAUAGUGGCGAGAAUCAGGAUAGAGGAGUUAGUCAGGAAGCAAAGCAUGCAGCUUCCCUCCUUUUCUUAAUCCACCCCAGAUUCUACCAUUUCAGGACAGGGUGCAGAGACAGAAGACAUCAAGAUCUGAGCACUGGGGGAUGCCCACUGAAAGGAGAGAGGAAGACGAGGACCAGUGAAGACAAAGCAGGAAUGAUCAGAGAGUAACACAGACAUAGAAAUCAGUGGCAUAAGGCAAGUGAUUCAUUUUGUGGGGAAAAAAUGCUCGUUUUCUUAAGGCAUGUAUACUGGUUUUCAAGGUGGAGAUUUUUUAGGUUGUGG